rnacentral:rRNA from 1 species
GACGAACGCUGGCGGCGCGCUUAACACAUGCAAGUCGAACGGAAAGGCCUGCUUUCCCUUGUGGAUUGCGGGUACUCGCGUGGCGAACGGGUGAGUAACACGUGAGUGAUCUGCCCCCAACUUGGGUAUAAGCCUGGGAAACUGGGUCUAAUUCCCGAUAGGACUGCAGGGUGGUGCCUGUGGUGGAACACGAUUUUCUAGUGGUUGGGGAUGAGCUCGCGGCCUAUCAGCUUGUUGGUGGGGUAAUGGCCUACCAAGGCGGCGACGGGUAGCCGGCCUGAGAGAGUGGGCGGCCACAGUGGAACUGAGAUACGGCCCAGACUCCUACGGGAGGCAGCAGUGGGGAAUAUUGCACAAUGGGCGGAAGCCUGAUGCAGCGACGCCGCGUGGGGGAUGACGGCCUUCGGGUUGUAAACUCCUUUCGACCGCGAGGAAGCCACCUGGUUGGAAGGGUGGUGACGGUAGUGGUAGAAGAAGCACCGGCUAACUACGUG